CGCAGCUCGCCCAUCACACCUCCUAUCUACUCCCCACGGACCUGCAAAUCCACCCAAUUUCCCUCGAUCACUCCCAAUCCUCUCAGCCGAUGGGGCCGAUCCAGGCGGCGGUCGCCGACGGCGUCAUCACGUUCCUCUGGGUCUUCUGCGUCUCCACCCUCGGUGCCUUCACCUCCGUCAUCGCCGCCUACCUCAACACCACCUCCCUCCCCCUCUCCCUCCUCAUCACCACCUCCCUCGUCGCCUUCCUAGUCUUCAUCUUCAACAUCAUCGGCGAUGCCGUCGGCGGGGCCAGCUUCAACCCCACCGGUACCGCCGCCUUCUACGCGGCCGGGCUCAGCAAGGAUAGUCUGAUCUCCAUGGCCCUCCGUUUCCCCGCACAGGCGGCAGGUGCGGUGGGCGGUGCCCUGGCUAUCUUGGAGUACAUGCCUCCGAAGUACAAGCACAUGCUGGGUGGGCCGUCCUUGAAGGUGGACCUGCACACUGGUGCGGCAGCGGAGGGGAUCCUCACUUUUGUUAUCACUAUGGCUGUCCUCUGGAUUGUCGUGAAGGGCCCUGCCAACUCGAUUGUCAAGACCUGGAUGCUUGCUGUCGCAACUGUCGCUCUGGUUAUCACGGGGUCCGGUUUUACUGGGCCUUCCAUGAACCCUGCUAAUGCAUUUGGUUGGGCGUAUGUGAACAACCGCCACAACACAUGGGAGCAGUUUUACGUAUACUGGAUCUGCCCUUUCGUUGGCGCGAUCCUGGCCGGUUGGUGUUUCAGGAUUCUUUUCCCUUUGGGGCCACCCAAGUCUAAGAAGACUAAAGAGGCAUGAGGUGUCGUUCUGUUAAUUUGUUGGAG
rnacentral:misc_RNA from 1 species